UACAGAGGGUGCAAGCGUUGUUCGGAAUUACUGGGCGUAAAGGGCGCGUAGGCGGCCCGCUAAGUCGAACGUGAAAUCCCUGGGCUCAACCCAGGAACUGCGUCCGAUACUGGCAGGCUUGAAUCCGGGAGAGGGAUGUGGAAUUCCAGGUGUAGCGGUGAAAUGCGUAGAUAUCUGGAGGAACACCGGUGGCGAAGGCGGCAUCCUGGACCGGUAUUGACGCUGAUGCGCGAAAGCCAGGGGAGCAAACGGG
rnacentral:rRNA from 1 species